rnacentral:sRNA from 1 species
AGCAGCCGCGGUAAUUCCAGCUCCAAUAGCGUAUAUUAAAGUUGCUGCAGUUAAAAAGCUCGUAGUUGAAUUUCGGGACCAUCAUGUUGGUCGUGCCUCGGUACGUACUGGCAUUGUUGGUUUCUCCCUUCUGACGAACCAUGAUGUCAUUUAUUUGGUGUCGUGGGAAAUCAGGACUGUUACUUUGAAAAAAUUAGAGUGUUUAAAGCAGGCUCACGCUUGAAUACAUUAGCAUGGAAUAAUGAAAUAGGACGUUUGAUUCUAUUUUGUUGGUUUCUAGGAUCGACGUAAUGAUUAAUAGGGAUAGUUGGGGGCAUUAGUAUUCAAUUGUCAGAGGUGAAAUUCUUGGAUUUAUUGAAGACUAACUACUGCGAAAGCAUUUGCCAAGGAUGUUUUCAUUAAUCAAGAACGAAAGUUAGGGGAUCGAAGACGAUCAGAUACCGUCGUAGUCUUAACCAUAAACUAUGCCGACUAGGGAUCGGAUGAUGUUAAUUUUUUAAUGACUCAUUCGGCGCCUUAC